UGGUUGUGUAUCUACUCUCGCUUUAAGAUUUUAGUACUGUUAAUUAUAUUUGCUCUAAUUAUUAGUUUACUUUAUUUUUUUUCUUAGUUCAUGUUUUAACUCUUUUAAGUUCAUCGUUUAAGCCCUUAUUGUCGUUAGAGCAUUUUAAGAUCUUCAGGGUCGUAAAAGCUGAUGCCUACCGUUUUUUAGCCUCUACUUUGUAUAGUGUGUACAUAUUAAAGAUAUUCAUACAAACAAGCUGUCAAAUUAUUUUAUCCUAUUAUCGUGAACAGCCUAUUUAAAGGCCCCCUGAGCUGAUUGAGAUUUAAAUUGUGUUCUCCGUAUAGUGUUUUAUUUAGUUUGGGCUUCGCCAUUAUUAACAUUCUGGCGUUUACUACACUGUUGUUCGUUUUAUAGGGUAGAGUGUGAUAAUGGUCUCUUAAUACCUUGCAACUUAAAUUUGAUAUGCUUCUAAUUAGUUCCUUUUGUUUUUUUUUAAAUAUUUAUAGCAUUCGAUCUAAGUGUGUUUUCAUCACUUAUUUUUUUUGUCUGCCUUUUCAGUAGUUAGAGGCAAGAGGGGGUUUGGUUAAGUAGGGUUUAGUAAUAUAUUUGAGUAAAGAAAAGUAUACUUUCUCUUUUUUUUUAUUAAAAAAUUCUUCUUUUCGUUGUUUUUAAUAGUGGAUGCAUGUUCUGAUGAAAUGGACGAUGGCACUGUUAUUUAGUGACUGUUUUUUAUUAACUCUUUUUUUUAUUUUUUUGCAGCCAUCGUUGGGAUGUUGUUGGUUUGCGUAAACUGGUUUGGUUUUAUUGUACACAUGUUAUUAUAACAUAUUACAGUUGCCUUUUUCCUGAGUCAUAUGUUUCUUCGUAGCCUUACUAUCUUCAGCAUUGUGUUGAAUUGGUUGUCGUGGUCAUGUGCUGCUUUAGCAGUUUGACAUUUGUUCCAGUUUCCUUGUAUUGCUGAUGUCACUCUGUUUGAAUGGUUUUUAGGCUUUUAUGUUCUGAAUUUGCAUGCCGAAGAGUAGGUUGCCUGUUCUAAAUUGAGGAUUAAUUUUCUGUUCAUGCAUGUGUACUAUGACUUUGCAAACGAGAAGUUUUGGGCGUUUCCAUGUACUUUUUCAUUUUUAAUCAUUUUUUACUGUUGAGAAAAAUGGCUUGUGUAAAAGGCUGCUUUUGCCAUUGCUGUGUGUUAUUACUGAAUGCUUUUAAAAGUUAGUAAGCCUUAAGCUUUAUAAUUUGCCGCCCUAUUACCAAUUUUAGCUGAAGAUAACUUAAAACGACUGUAGAAGUCCUUUGAGAGAUUCCAAGGGAAAAAAUGCAAUACCGAUCUGCGUAUCAAAAGACUUUUUUUUGCCGUCCUUUGUUAAAAAUAAUUGAAGAGAUUUUUGGUCAAAAAAAAUGGUUAAGCGCAUUAUCCGUAUAACACCCUGAUUUGUCGGGUAAGGCCUGCAUCUUUAGAAGGAAUGGUAAAAAUACUGCAUCAGGGUAAAAAGAGACAUAUAUUUUCAAUCUAAUACUUAACUAUAUAAAUGGUGAUUACUCUAAAUUAACACUAAAAGCCCAUACGUUCUUAGCCUAAGCGUUUUAUAUGGUUACUUUUGAAUUGAUACAGUGUAGAAUUUGCUUUACUGUUAGUUUGUACUUUUAUUAAGUUAUAGUUUAAAUCAAAUUUGUAUAAUAUGACAUUGAAAGUAACUAACUUAGAGAAGUUAGCGUAACUUUUAAAUAAUGCUUGUAUAAUACCUAAUAUGCAUAUCUCGCCUAUAUUGGAAUGCUCCUUCGUUUUUUGCUUUAAUCGUUUUGUAAUUCUGGCGCACUCUGAUUUCUAUUUGGCCUUGUUGAAACAUACCUGUUAACAUGCUUUUCUUAAAACGUAUAUUUCGUCUUCCUCUCUUUUUUCCAAGGCAGUUACUACAACUUUAAACUGGCUUCCGUUAUAUCUUUGAUUGGUUAUGUCUGUAACUAAGGCUUUACUUAACAAAUUUCAUUUUAACAGUUAAAACUCUUCUUUUCUGAUUAGGAUGAUCACAAUGUCAAUUUUUCGACCACUUUAAAACUUUAGGGAAGAAAUACAACCGUUUACUUUACAAUGGCUCUUUUUUAGUAAAAGACGUUAUAGAACUUAAAUUUCUACUAUGUAAGAUAUAUUCGUAACAUAAUGAAAUAUUAACACUAGGUAUGCGUGUUAACAUAUUUUGCACGCGGCAUGGAAAAGUUGGCAUCUUAUACUAUAACUUUUAAAAUAUUAUAACUCGGGAGCUGUCAAUACCCUAUAUUUCCUUUACUGUUUUACAACUAAUACUAUGGAGUGUGCCAACCGUUCCCCCGGCCGUACUCUAAACCAGUUUUAUAAUUGUGUUUGUCCCCCCGAGAACCACUUUUAUUAAUCCUUUCUGGACGUUUGAAUAUGAUGAAUCUAAGAGAAAAACUUAAUGGAUAUAAUAUACUAAAGAAUUGAAUAUAUGAUUUCAAAAGAGUAAGUUCUUAUUGCGCUAAGUCAAAGCCUACACCGGACACGCUUGGAGUGGCCUAGUUGCCAUUCUGUAUUUUAAAGGGCGGAAGGUUCAAAGGUCACUCACUUUUCAGAAACAGAACAAAUUGGAUCACACGCGUCCGUCAAUAUUAUGGAUUUAUUAUAAACAAGAAAAAGAUAAAAUUACAAAGUAUUAAGUAGCUAAGAGAAAAGCGAGUAUAAGAUAUAUACACUAUUUUCGACUACUAACAGCUAAAAUUCAUAGUAUAUAGUCACCUGUGUGAUAUGAAUUAAAAGAUUGUAUAAUGGCAAGUUUUAGGAAGCUUAACCUUUUAAAAUAAAAAAAUAAGGAGCAUAAGCCUAAAGAUGGCAUA